rnacentral:rRNA from 1 species
GGCGAACGGGUGAGUAACACGUGGGUGAUCUGCCCUGCACUUCGGGAUAAGCCUGGGAAACUGGGUCUAAUACCGGAUAGGAGCCAUUUUUAGUGUGAUGGUUGGAAAGUUUUUCGGUGCAGGAUGAGCUCGCGGCCUAUCAGCUUGUUGGUGGGGUAAUGGCCUACCAAGGCGGCGACGGGUAGCCGGCCUGAGAGGGUGGACGGCCACAUUGGGACUGAGAUACGGCCCAG